rnacentral:rRNA from 1 species
GAAAAGGGAAUGGUCCAGCGCCAAGUCUUGACGCUCAACGUGUUCAAGAGAUGCGGCGUUCAUGUGUUGGUGCAUCGUGCACUGUCUCUAGUCUCAAGUUCCCUUGACAGGGACAUCCAAAGCGGGUGCUAGGCCCAUAGGGACAUGAGACCAGUGUACGCCAGCCAAUGCAUUCUAGAGUCAGGUUGCUUGAGAGUGCAGCCUAAAGUCGGUGGUAAACUCCAUCCAAGACUAAAUAUUACAGCGAGACCGAUAGCAAACAAGUACCGUGAAGGAAAGUUGCAAAGCACUUUGAAGAGAGAGUUCAACAGUACGUGAAACCACUGGGAGGCAAACAGAUGGAACCACGAAGUGUGCGUCUCGGUCGAUUCAAUCCACGUCGUCGGGUGUUGUUGGUUGAAUAGGAUCUCUUCGGAGGUUGUUCGCCCAGCUUCUACCAGACGUCAUGGGUGCAUUUCGUGCCGAGGAUGCUAAGCCACGUUCAACCAGAGUUGGGACAGCCAUAGGACAGGGCCUGGGAAAGGUGCCCGCCAAGUGCUUGCAUUUGGCGGCGUUAUAGACCCGGGCCGGAACUGUCGCCUAACAUGCUGGUUGAUGCAAGUUCUCCUUCGGGAGUCAAACCGUAACUACCUGUGUUCGGGAGCCGGCGUUUCGGUGUGUUCUUUGCGUAUCUUUGGGUGCGAAAAGCCAUGCCAACAGCGUCGUCUAACGGAUGCUUGUGUGUUGCGGUGGAACUGUGGCGCGAGUAGGUCGGUCUCCAUCUGACCCGUCUUGAAACAC